AGUGAAUAUCGUGGAGCACAAAUUCAAGAGGAACACAACUUGGAAAAUUCAACCUGAAUGGUUUCUAAUGUUAUCGCGUAAAAGAAGAAAUGAACAUGCCAUUGGCCACGGUCAUUCAGUUGUACAGUAGUUGGCAGUGACAGCACGGCACACAUGAACUCGCGGUGGCUGGUGAAAGAUGAUGGGGAAUGAGCGAGCUAUGGGAUCGAGCGGGAAAAAGUUUAGCGCGGUUUACACUCUGAAUUUACGGAAUUGCCCCCCACCCAAUAGUAUAGGAAGAUAAUUUUACCCCUUUUAAUUUUACUGAGAGGACAAAACAAUCUAAACCUUUUAAUCAAUUAUAUCAGCAAAAUGUAAUGUAAGUUCUCUUUUAUUUUAUUACAAUGCGUUUUUACUACAGAAGUCCUACUCUUAUCCAUUGUAAAAUCUCCCAAUUUUAAAAAUGCAGAAUAUAUUUAUUUAUAUUAGUUUCCUUGAUUUUUGGGGUAUUCCUCAAAAAGAAUCACCAGUUAGAAAAGUAUACCUCAUAAUUUCAAGCAAGCAGCAAUUGAUCUUAGAAGCUAAAUGGAAUAUUUUGAAAAUGUGAAAGCAUUUUUGUGCAUUUGUAAAUAGUCAUAAGUGCCUCCCUGACUUUGUUAUGUAAAUUAUGGAUUUAAUUUGAUAUGUUUUUAAUACUAGAGCGGAUGCAUAAUGGUUUUUGACCUU